CCCCAGACUGUCAGGAUGAGGACACUGAUCCCGACCUCCUGCAUGUUUGGUGCUCAGGCCGUGACCAGGCCAGGCAGGGUCGAUAAUGUUCCGAGCGAGGGAACGGAGGUCGCAGUCCCCUCCUCCAGCCCCCCUUCGCCUCUUACUGUGCGGGGAAUAGACGCUGAUGGGCCGGCAGACGCAGAACCGCGAGCUCGGACUGGCUGCAGCUGCGCAGGCUGCUCUGACUGCGGCUCCGCUCCCCCGGUGGAUCUGGCAGCUUCGGGCACCGGGCUCUAGUCCCUCCCAAGCGCGCCCGCGGCUCCGCGCUCCAGGCCCCGCCCUCUCCGCCGCUAGCGAAGCAGCGCUCCACCCGGAAAGUUCGGCUCAGCCCGGGCCCCACCCACAAGGACCAGCCGGGGAGCCCGGGGACGUCUAGCCCCUCCCACAGCCUUUGCGCCUGGGCUUGCGCAGCUGCGGCAGAGUCUUUUAGUGGAGAGCGAGGGCUGUACCAGUCACCAACGGGAAUCGGGAUUGUCUGCAGCGCUAAGGGCCUUCCUUAAAGACCAGUAUCAGUGUUGACAACCCUGGGGCACCCUGCAGAGCCGUCCCAAAGUUGUCUGUCCUCAAGAAGCUGGGCGUUGAAAAGGGACAUACGACAUCACCUGAUCCCAGACCACAAACGUCUCCUUGAGAUCUUGGAAUUAAACGGAGCUAGACCACGUGGUCCCUUAA
rnacentral:lncRNA from 1 species